rnacentral:sRNA from 1 species
CUUGGAUAUGGUGACAUGGCGCCACGGACUGGAUUCGGAUACUUAGUUGGUACUAUAUGUGCUGUUUGCGGACUGCUGAUGUUAACACUUCCGGUACCGAUAAUAGUCAAUAAU